CGUAGGCGGCUUUUUAAGUCGGAUGUGAAAUCCCUGAGCUUAACUUAGGAAUUGCAUUCGAUACUGGGAAGCUAGAGUAUGGGAGAGGAUGGUAGAAUUCCAGGUGUAGCGGUGAAAUGCGUAGAGAUCUGGAGGAAUACCGAUGGCGAAGGCAGCCAUCUGGCCUAAUACUGACGCUGAGGUACGAAAGCAUGGGGAGCAAACA
rnacentral:rRNA from 1 species